rnacentral:snoRNA from 1 species
UGCAGAUGAUGUUGUUCUCUCACGAUGGUCUGCUGAGCCUCACGGUGAAGGGGCUCUGACGACAAGGCCACACGGCUUGGCUGAUGCGCAGCG